UGGGUGGUUUGAUGGGGAUGUGGGGUGAUUUUCCGCGAGAGAAACAUUUUAAUGCAUUUUCACAAUUCACAAUUCCUGGCAUUGCCUUUCAUUUGCCGAUUGAUUGCCGUUGAUGUUCGCACGAAAAACGUUUUGCUAUUUCUCCUUUCAGUGCUCCGGCUUUGCUUUUGAUUGGGGGUCAGGCCCUGACGUCACAGCCGCAGUGACCCCAUGACCUCGUUUGGCUUGAUUCUUUUCCACUUCUCAGCCGUUUUCUUAUUUUUCGCUGCGUUUCCGCUGGCUAAAAGGACAUUGACACAAUGCAGGCUAAAAGGAUAAAAGGCUAAAAACGUGACUUUGGGGCAAGUGUGACGCUUUUCACCACACACUUGCAUGCUCACAUUUUUCCGGUUGUCGUAGAUCGAGGUGAAGCUUUUCAGCUUGAUGACGUCAAAGAGCUUGUUAAAAGGUCAAUCAUUAGUUGGUGACGAGACGAAAAAAAGGAUUUAAGGAUUUGGAAACCUUUCUUUAAUAUACUUAACAUUAAGUAUUUUCAAUGAUUCAAUGAUUAAUUCACUUUAAUUACACUGAAGUUAUUUAUUUUUAAAAUAUUAUGUAAGUAAAUGCUCGAUUUCCUUGCAAAAUUA